GACAGAGGUGCCGAGCGUUAGGCGGAAUCACUGGGCUUAAAGCGUGUGUAGGCGGGUGCCUAAGUACCUUUUGAAAUCCCACGGCUCAACCGUGGAACUGCUCGGUAUACUGGGUGCCUUGAGCCAACUAGGGGCGACCGGAACAAACGGUGGAGCGGUGAAAUGCGUAGAUAUCGUGUGGAACGCCGAUGGUGAAAACAGGUCGCUGGGGUUGUGCUGACGCUGAGACACGAAAGCCAGGGGAGCGAACGGG
rnacentral:rRNA from 1 species